rnacentral:rRNA from 1 species
AGAGAGAGACAUGCGCGCAUAUCAAUAAGCGGAGGAAAAGAAACUAACAAGGAUUCCCCUAGUAACGGCGAGUGAAGCGGGAAGAGCUCAAAUUUGAAAUCUUAAAGGGUUUCCCUUUACGAAUUGUAGUUUAAAGAAGUGUUUUCUGUUGAGGUUUUGGUAAAAGUUCUUUGGAAUAGGACAUCAUAGAGGGUGAGAAUCCCGUAUUUGACCUUUACUUUCAACUUUGUGAUACACUUUCAAAGAGUCGGAUUGUUUGGGAAUGCAGUCCAAAGUGGGUGGUAAAUUUCAUCUAAAGCUAAAUAUUGGCGAGAGACCGAUAGCGAACAAGUACCGUGAGGGAAAGAUGAAAAGAACUUUGAAAAGAGAGUUAAACAGUACGUGAAAUUGUCAAAAGGGAAGCGUUUGACACCAGUGUUGUUUUUCUGAAAAUCAAUUAAAGAACUGUUUAUGCUAAGCUGUUUAGACUUUAUCAGCUAUACUGUUUAGUUUUGAGCUUUUCUUUAAUGCACUUUUCAGUUAACAAGUCAACAUCAAUUUCUUUUGCUGUAAAAAAGCUUGAGGAAGGUGGCUUGAGAUUCGUCUUAAGUGUUUAUAGCCUCUUGCCUAUGCAGCCGGAGAGAUUGAGGUCUGCAGCGUAGAUCCUUCGGGGCUAAAUGCAUUUGUGCUAAGUUAUAGCAUUUUAUAGACAACUUGUUGACUAUGAUUUGUCUUGUAGCUUACUCGCUUAUGUUAUUUUACCUACGCUUAGGAUGUUGACGCAUGAGAUAUACGC